rnacentral:lncRNA from 1 species
CUCCGGACGAGGUGUCUCUCCUGCUGUGCCCCCCAGGGCCUGUGUUUUGGAAACUCCAGCAAGCCAGCCCAGCAGGCCGUUUCGGGUGACGAAGGCACCUCAGGAACUGCAGGUGCUCCUCAGAAGAGUCAAGAAAGGGGGGUCAACUUUCAGCCCCUGAAAGAGCCUGACUUUGCAUUUCUAUUUCACAAGCUUACAGUUCUGAGUAAUUGUACUGGAGGGCUGAAGAGUCAAAGGCAAUUCAUGUGCAAAUCUAGGCUUCUUCGGCGUGAGAUUUCAUCCGGUUCACACCAGAUGACCUGCCUCUGUCAUGUCUCAGCCUGUCUGCAAUGAAGGAGGAGAAAAAUCUGCGCCUCUUCCUCUCAAGGGAUAAUUUGCCUCUGGGGUACUUUCUGACCCAGUGGACCCCUGGCAGAAGUAAGCGUGGACUGUGGCUACAGUACUGCACAGAGUCAACAGGAACCGAAGCCAGGCCUUCGCCACGGCAGCUCCGGGGUCCAACCACUUGAUCAAUGCAGGAAAUGCUUUGAUGAAAGAAUUCUUCCGUGGCCAGCUUCUCAUAUUCUCUGGGACAGACACAAACCAAGAAAAAUGAGUGUGGUGCAGAAUCCGAUGUGUCCUUCCUGUACCCCCUGCUGGUAGCAAAAAGUAUGUUUUGAACUUUUCUUUUGUUAUACACAGUCUGGGUAAUAACAGACUGAAGGAAAAUUAAGGAAGCCUGGGAGGCUAAGUUCAAUGAAAAAUGAACUGAGGCAGAGAAAAAAGAGAAUUGGAAAGUAUCUGGGUGUCUGGAGAGGUUGGGAGAAUAGAGAGGGAGGAGAUAUAAUUGGCCAGAUAACUUGAGAGUGGGAGAGGAGUGCAAACAUUAUUUUUGAGGCGCUUUGUUGGAUAUUUAAAAUGCACUCCUACCUUUGGCAUUUUCUCAAAAGGCAGGAAAGAUUUGUUUUCAAUUCUAUUUUUCUGCUGGACUGAACCAGUGCCAAGACUGGACCAUGUAGGAUCCUGGGUUUAUUUCAAUUACAUAAGCAAACGUUACUGUGAUUUGGAAUAGUCAAAGCCAUGAAUGUUUCUCAACUUCCAUUUUGUCAGCUGCUUGAGUUUCUAUUCUGAGAGGUGCUAACUGUUAACAUUGUUAUUCACUUGUGUUCCCUAAAUAAAUUUUAAUUAGUUUUAAUUUGAACCAAGAAUGUUCUACUGUUGACACUAUGUCAAGAAUGAUCAAAAAUGAAAUUAAUAAAG